rnacentral:lncRNA from 1 species
AAUGUUUAACAAUAGGAAAUAUUCAAGAAUAAAUAAAAUAAAAGUUUAAUCCUAACAACACAAAACAUUCCAGGAAUGUAGGUACUACCGUUCUAUUCCGUGAACAUCUAUCUGAUUAAAUUAUGGGUGGAAAGUUACCACAAGAUAUUCUAUGAACAUAGUACAAUGUCUUCCUGGAGGGGUAAAAUUUUCCAUUACAAGAUUUUAAGAGAGGCCAUUUAUUGUACUGUUCAAUUUGCGUUCAUUUUCAAAUUUGCCGCGCGAGUAUCUAUGUAGCGUCUCGUGGUCAUUGGUCAUCACAUUUCAUUUUCAUAACAUAACCGAUAACCUAAAAAUUUAGUAAAGUAAAAAUUUUGAUUGGAAAAAAAUGCAUCGAUAAGGGGGUGUGGGAAAUGGAAAUUAGUGGCUUUUUUGCUGUACUGCCUGCUAGUUUUUGCUCUGGGCUCUGGCUAGAUCUCUUGUUUAAACAAUUUUAAUCAGCUGAAAGUGGCCUACAAAAAAAAACCAAGAAGGAAAUGUAUAGCCUUGUGGCUAUGAAAGGCAAAAGAGAGAUAUAAAAAGUGUAUUGGCUAGUUGGAAGAAAGUCCACAUUGUCCAUGCAUAAUAAGUUAUUACUUUAUCAACAAAUAUCAAGAAGAUAGCAGGGUCACGAGCAUCAACUUCAUAAGUUCAAGAAUAUCGAGGAAAUCCAGCUCCUCGAUACUACUGGGCAAACUAGAAGAUUGAAGAGGACAAAUCCUUUUGAACUAGUUUGAGUGAUAGGUGAUAGUGAAAAACGGAGCAUAGUGCUUGUGUGCUGUGCCUGUGUAUGUUAGAAUAAUAGUGCACGAUCUUGUUAGAUUAGAUAAGAGACGCUAUGGGGUAAGCUCUUCAUUUUAAGAAACAAUAGUAAUUUAGGUUAAAUUAAAAUUGCUCAUUGGUCAGUUAUGACCAGAUUGUUUUUUUAUGUUUGGCAAAAAGGACUUACGUCAGAAUUGCACAUUGAUAAUGUUUUGAUGAUUUCUGGACCAGAAAAAAACUGUUGUAGAUGUAAACUGUAUGUACAGUAGAAUCUACUACAGUACUGUAGAAAUCAUCAAAACAUUAUCGAUGUGCAAUUCUGACUUAAGCCCUUUUUCCCAAACAUCAGAGAAUUGUAAUGUACAAUAAUUCUCCUAUCUGCUUUUUCAUGAAUUUUGUAGGAGACGAAAAACCAUUUUUAGGAUCAUCUGCUUUCACAUGUAAAUUUUGACAUGUUUUGUAGUAAAUAGAUAGUUGAAUUUACUACAAAACAUGUCAAAAAAUAUAUGAAAACAGGAGGUGACUAUAAAAAAAGUUUUUAGUCUCUCUUACAAAACUCAUGAAAAAACAAAUCGGAGGUAUGUCACAUCAGUGACUAAGAAUGUCUAAAAAAUAUACUUUGAUGUCCCAAGAACCAAAUAUAACCUACAGUCCAUCUAAUUUACUUACUGUUGCACGUCAUUAUCUACGCCAGAGAUCUAAGUUGACAUAGUUGCCAAAGUAUAAAAAGAUCCUGAAUCCAUUUUAAAUCAAAUAUGUCACAUAAUUAUUGUAAACGUGGAUUAUACAACAAAACAAAUUAAUAUUCAAUGUAAAUAAGUAAAAACUUAAGAAAUAGAGAACAAGAAUUAAGUUAUAAUCUUUUAAGAUUUGCAGUGCAAGAGUUUUUGCACUGCAUUGUUAAUAAUUAAAAAACGGCUCCGAACUCUUGGCAAAAAGCCGGUAGGUUUCUUUGUAUAAGUAUGUCUACAAUAACAACUAAAAAAGUUGUCAGAUACCUCGAUUAUUCCAAGUCAUUAUAAAAUUAGGUGAAAUUUAUAUUUUUAUAGUAGAGGAUCUUUUUAUAGUAAAGUAAAUAAUAAAAACAGUAAAUAUAAUAGAUAAAACAGAUAUUUAUAGUAAAGAAUAUAAACAAAUAUGAAGUGUCAUCACCGUAACUGUCAAAUAAAUGUUACCAAUUUAUUCUAAAAUGUCACCUUCGUUCGAUUACAGUUACAGUGUGAUCCGAACAAAUCUGCUUCAUAAAAACGCUUUAUAAUCCAUUUAUACAAAUUAAAUGAAACAUAUUAUUGUGUAUUUCUUUAGGUUAACAUUAAUAGAAAUCUUCAAAUAUUAUUUCUACGCGUAUAUAAUAAAAUAUGUCUAGUGGCUGUAAUUCCAGUGUACUCGGCAAAGUGAUUCUAAAAAAGAACACACCUACCGCCUAAAUAUUUCGUGUUGGUAUCAUGCAACCUCACAGGCUACGACGCGGAUGACGUGCAACAGUUAGUAAAUUAGACGAAGUAUGUAGAUAUAUACAGGGUGUAACAAAAAUACAGGUCAUAAAUUUAAUCACAUAUUCUGGGACCAAAAAUAGUUUGAUUGGACCUAACUUACCUUAGUACAAAUGUGCACACAAGAAAAGUUACAGCCCUUUGAAGUUAUAUAUAUAUAAUAGCACCAAGGGUCUUAGAGGCCCAUGGCUUGAAAAGUUUGUUUUUUUUCUUCAUUUUCACGUUUCUUUAUGUACUGAGAUCUUCUCUGGCUUGAUAUGUGAUUUUUCUCCAUUCCUUCCUGUUAUUCAUUUUUCUUUUCUGACCCUGUAGCACCAUUCUUUCCAAAUCUUUUUCGACCUCUUGCUUCCAUCUAUUUUUCGGCCUUCCUCUUCUCUUUCUUGAAGCUGUAGUGUAGUUUAGUACCAUUUUUGGAGUCCUCGUGUUUGGCAUCCUUUCAAUGUAACCUCGCCAUCUAAGUCUCUGUGCCUUUAUCAUUCAUUUGAAGUUACAAGAUGAAGUGAUUUUUUCCAAUAUAUCGAAAACUAUUAGAGAUUUUUUAUUGAAAAUGGACAUGUGGCAUUAUUAUGGCAGCCGAGAUGGCAGCAGUAUCUUACGAAAAAACUAUAGUAAAAUUUGGACACCCCAUAAAAAUUUUAUGGGGGUUUUGUUCCUUUAAACCCCCCCAAACUUUUGUGCACGUUUCAAUUUAAUUAUUAUUGUAGUACCAUUUAAACACAACGUUUUAAAAACUUUUUUGCCUCUUAUUGCUUUUUCGAAAAGUCAAUUUUUAUCGAAAUAUUUUGAAUAUUUGUCAAAUCCACCACAUAUUUGUAUAUGGUUAAGUACGAUUAUGGAGACUUGGUAAUAAUAUGCAGACUUAUUUAUGCUUUACAUUUUUAGGGAUAUUUUGAACCAUAUUAAAAAAGAAGCCAGAUCUCGAUAAAAUGUGCCUUAUCGAAAAAAUACAAAGAGGCAAAAAAGUUUUAAAAACAUUCUGUUUAACUAAUGGUACCUCAGUAAUAGUUUAAUUGGAACGUACACAAACAUUUGGGGGGUUUAAAGGAACAAAACCCCCAUAAAAUUUUUAUGUAGACAUGUUAAAAAAGAAGUCGCAACUCGAUAAAAACUGCCUUAUCUGAAAAAUACUAAGAAACAAAAAUAUUGAAUUUAACUAAUGGUACCACAAUAAUAAAAUUGAAUUGGAACAUACACAAAAGUUUGGGAGGAUCUAAGGGAUCAAAACCCCCAUAAAAUUUUUAUGGGGUGCAAAAAUGUCACCAUAAUUUUUCUUUAAGAUAUUCCUGCCAUAAUACUGCCACAUGUCCAUUUUCAAUAAAAAAUCGCUAAUAGUUUUCGAUAUAAUCGAAAAAAUCGAUUUUCAUUUUGUAAUUUCAAAGGGCUGUAACUUUUUUUAUGUGCAUAUUUGUACUAAGGUAAGUUAGGUUCAUUCAAACUAUUUUUGGUCCCAGAAUAUGUGAUUUAAUUUAUGACGUGUAUUUUUGUUACACCCUGUAUAUACAGCCGAUUACGCACCACCUUAAAAAUUGGGCAUUUUUGAUGUCUCGAAUUUCCUAAACCUGUUGUUGCAUCUAAGUGAUUUUUUUAUAAUAUUCUAGCCUAGGCCCUAGGCUAUAGGUUAAGUACCUCCUUAUGCUUGUCAUGCACGGGGAGCUAUACUGUAAUAUAUAUUAUAUCACAUCGCACUCUAUAGUAAUGAGUGAGCCUGCACAUAUGGAACCAUUUGUUUUCUGUCUGCAGGCUCACUCAUUACUAUAGAGAGCGAUAUGAUAUAAUGUACAUAUAUUACAGCAUAGCUCCCUGUGCAUGACAAGCUUAAGGAGGUAACCUAUAGCCUAGGCUAUAAUAUUAUAAAAAAAUCACUUAGAUGAAACAACAGGUUUAGGAAAUACGAGACAUAAAAAAUACCCCAUAUUUAAGGUGGUGCGUUAAUUUCUUGGAGAAGUGUAUUGUAAUUUAAUGUAAAUAAUGUAAUAUCCAAUAAUUGUAAUUUAAUAUAAGAUGUAAUAUAAGUUCCUUAAAAAAUAUAUUUUUUAUUUCCCACGACAUUAGAUGGAUGUUCGGCAGCAAGACAUUGGACCAAACUGGGACGUCCUAUGAAGGCCCAAUUGACGUCCACCGAACGUCCCUUCGGAUGUUAAGUGGACCUCCAUUGGGCGUUUGGUAACGUGGCAUUUGGACCAAAAUUGGACGUCCUGUUAAGGUCCAAUUCACGUCCCCUAGAACGUCCGGUUAAUGUCCAAUUUACUUCCGAUUAAGGUCCAAUUUACGUCCGAUUAAGGUCCCAUUUACGUCCGAUUAAGGUCCAAUUUACGUCCUAUUAAGGUCCAAUUUACGUCCGAUUAAGGUCCAAUUUACGUCCGAUUAAGGUCCCAUUUACGUCCCAUUAAGGUCCAAUUUACGUCCUAUUAAGGUCCAAUUUACGUCCGAUUAAGGUCCAAUUUACGUCCGAUUAAGGUCCAAUUUAUGUCCGAUUAAGGUCCAAUUUACGUCCGAUUAAGGUCCAAUUUAUGUCCGAUUAAGGUCCAAUUUACGUCCGAUUAAGGUCCAAUUUACGUCCCCUAGGACGUCCGAUCAAGGUCCAAAUUACGUCCGAUUAAGGUCCAAUAUACGUCCCCUCGGACCUUAGAUGGACGUCCAAUGGACGUUCGGUAGCGCGACAUUUGGACCAAAAUAGGACGUAUAAAGGACGUUCCUCGGACGAAAACGGACGUCCAAUGGACGUCCCUAAAGUCCGUGAAGGACGUCCAAUGGACGUCCAUUGGACGUCCUUGUGCUAUUAGGGUAU